rnacentral:lncRNA from 1 species
UUUUUUGUGUUAUCUUUGUCUGGUUUUGGUAUCAGGGUGAUGGUGGCCUCAUAGAAUGAGUUUGGGAGUAUCCUUUCCUCUGCAAUUUUUUGGAAUAGUUUCAGAAGGACAGGUAUUAGCUCUUCUCUAAAUGUUUGUUAGAAUUUGCCUGUGAAGCCAUCUGGUCCUGGACUUUUGUUUGUUGGAAGUUUUUUAAUCACAGUUUCAAUUUCAGUUCUUGUGAUUGGUCCAUUCAUCUUUUCUAUUUUGUCUUGGUUUAGUCUUGGAAGAUUGUACUUUUCUAAGAGUUUGUCCAUUUCUUCUAGGUUUUCCAUUUUAUUGGCAUAUAGUUGCAUAUAGUAGUCUCUCAUGGUCCUUUGUAUUUCUGUGACGUCUGUUCUAACUUCUCCUUUUUCAUUUCUAAUUUUAUUGAUUUGAGUCCUCUCUCUUUUUUUCUUGAUAAGUCUGGCUACGGGUUUAUCAAUUUUGUUGAUCUUUUCAAAGAACCAGCAUUUCGUUAUAUUGAUCUUUUCUAUGGUUUUCUUUGUUUCUAUUUAAUUGAUUUCUGCUCUGAUCUUUAUGCUUUCUUUCCUUCUGCUAACUUUAGGUCUUGUCUGUUCUCUCUCCAGCUGCUUUAGAUGUAACAGGUUGUUUAUUUGAGCUUUUUCUUGUUUCCUGAGGUGGGCUUGUAUUGCUAUAAACUUUCCUCUUAGAACUGCUUUUGGUGCAUCUCAUAGGUUUUGAAGUGUCAUAUCUUUGUUGUCAUUUCCUUCUAGGUAUUUUUUAAUUUCCUCUUUGAUUUCUUCAUGAUCCAUUGGUUGUUUAGUAGCAUGUUGUUUAUUCUCCACGUGUUUGUGUUUUUUGCAGUUUUUUUCUUGUUGUUGUUUUCUAGUCAUAUAGUGUUGUGCAGGCUUAUUAAAGUGACUGCUUUCCAAUUGUGGUUUCCUCCAUCCUAGUUCUUCCUCUCUCUCUCUUUUUUUUUAGUUUAGAAAAGCCCUUUCAUUAUUUAUUUUAGAAUGGGUUUCAUAUUGCUGUACUCUUUUAGCUUUUGUUUGUUGGAGAAAUUCUUUAUUUCCCUUUCUAUUUUAAAUGAUAUUCUUGCUGGAUAGAGUAUUCUAAUUUGCAGAUUUUUUUCCUUUCAGUGCUUUAAAUCUAUCUUGCCACUCCUUUCUGGCCUGUAGUGUUUCUGUAGAGAAAUCAGCUGAUAGUCUUAUGGGGCUUCCCUUAUAGUUAUUAUUUUGCUUUUUUCUUGCUACCUUUGGAAUCCUCCCUUUAUCUUUAACUUUUGCCAUUUUUAUUAGACUAUGUCUUGGUGUGGGUUCAACUUGUUUGGGGCCCUCUAUGCUUCCUGUAUCUUGAUACCAGUGUCCUUUAGAUUUGGAGUUUUCAACCAUAAUUGCUUCAAAUAUUCUUUCAAUCCCCUUUGCUUUUUCUUCUCCUUCUGUAAGUCCUAUUAUUCAUAGAUUGGCCUGCUUUAUAUUAUCCCAUAGAUCUCCUAUAUUGCUUUCAUUUUUUUCAUUUGGUUUUCUGUCUGCUGUCUUGUUUGAGUGAUUUCCAGUAUUCUGUCUUCCACUUCACUAAUUCUUUCCUCUUCAUUAUUUAUUCUGCUCUUUAUUUCCUUUAUCUCAUUUUGUAUCUCUGCAAAUGAAUUUUCUAGUUUUUCCUGGCUCCUCCUCAUAUUUUCUAGUUCCUUUCUGAGGGAAUCUGUAUUACUGUUCAUAUUACUUUUAUGUUUUCACUAUCUCCCUUUUGAACUCAAAGUCUGUCAGACUGGAGAGGUCUUUUUCAUUUUGACUGCUUUAGGUGAAUUCUCUUUUUGCUUUAAUUGGGAAUGGUUUCUGAGCUUAUUCAUCUUGCUUGUGUUUUUCUUUUUCUGUGAAUUUGGGGAAGCCAAACUGUAGUUUGGCACAGUCCAGGGUGGGCUGGCAAGUGGCUUCCAGUGGGCAGGGGAGCCUGGAGCAUGGCAGGCUGUGAGCAGCUUCCUGUGUGCAGGUGGGCCCAGAGUGCGGCAGGCCAGUGAGCGGCUUCUCUUGGGUGGGGGGCCUGGUCCAUGGUGGAUGCCAAGUGGCUUCUGUCCAUGGAGGGUUGCAGGCUAUGCCAGGGACACUCUGCCCUCUUCAAGCCAGUGGGCAAGCACACACACUGCCACACAAAGAGUUUUCUAUGGCGGCCUGCCCUUCCUCCUCUCCCCUUCCCAGCAAUGGUGCCUAGUCUCACCUGCAUGUCUGGACCUUCACCCAAGUUCCCUCUGCAGUGUCUUUCCACUCCCCACCCUUUGCGCACCAUUCCCUAGCCUGUUAGGCUGUCUCCACACUGCCAACCCAAGCCUGCUCCCAGGGACUGACCUCCGGAGCUGAAGUCUUGGUGCCCAGCCCUCACUCCAGUUUCUCAGGCUGUGGAGUCCAGGCCAGUGGUUCAGAUGAUCUGUGCAGCUCUCACUGUUUUUUGGUUCUCAGACCUGCUGCUGUGCUUUUUUCUUUUUUAGGCAUAUUGGAGAUGCC